rnacentral:rRNA from 1 species
UUGUAAAAUUCCACUAAUUUUCUAAAACCCUUAACCUGUACUGAAUGGUCUUAUGACUUCAUGAGAGCCUAUAUGUUAGAACUAGUAACAAGAAGAAGCCCUUCUCCAAAAUGUAAGCAUGAGCCAAAAUGAACUAUUCAUUGGCAUUUAAAGUUAAUAAUUCCCUAGUAGUAACUUUUUCAAGAAAAACCUACUAUAUUCAACGUCAACCUUACACCAGCACAUUUCUGGAAAGAUUAAAAGACUAGGAAGGAACUCGGCAAACAAUUAACCCCGCCUGUUUACCAAAAACAUCGCCUCCUGAUUAUUAUAGGAGGUCUAGCCUGCCCAGUGACAAAGUUAAACGGCCGCGGUACCCUAACCGUGCAAAGGUAGCGCAAUCACUUGUUCUUUAAAUGAGGACUAGUAUGAACGGCAUCACGAGGGUUAUGCUGUCUCCCUACUUUAUUCAGUGAAACUAAUCUCCCCGUGAAGAAGCGGGGAUAAAAAUAUAAGACGAGAAGACCCCAUGGAGCUUUAAACUCAGUAUCAACUGCCAUAAUUAAAACUUAAUAUUCAAGCAAUUUCUGAUUACUAGUUUUCGGUUGGGGUGACCACGGAGUAAAACCUAACCUCCAUGAUGAAAGGAAAUAAUAACCUAAAUUAAGAGCUACAGCUCUAAAUAUCAAUAAAUUGACUAAUUGACCCAAUUAUUUGAUCAACGAACCAAGUUACCCUGGGGAUAACAGCGCAAUCCAUUUCAAGAGCUCUUAUCGACAAAUGGGUUUACGACCUCGAUGUUGGAUCAGGGUAUCCCAGUGGCGCAGC